CCUACGGGGUGCAGCAGUGGGGAAUAUUGGACAAUGGGCGAAAGCCUGAUCCAGCCAUGCCGCGUGUGUGAAGAAGGCCUUCGGGUUGUAAAGCACUUUCAGUGGGGAAGAAAGCCUUGGGGCUAAUACCCUCGAGGAAGGACAUCACCCACAGAAGAAGCACCGGCUAACUCCGUGCCAGCAGCCGCGGUAAUACGGAGGGUGCGAGCGUUAAUCGGAAUUACUGGGCGUAAAGCGCGCGUAGGCGGUCUGAUAAGCCGGUUGUGGAAGCCCCGGGCUCAACCUGGGAACGGCAUCCGGAACUGUCAGGCUAGAGUGCAGGAGAGGAAGGUAGAAUUCCCGGUGUAGCGGUGAAAUGCGUAGAGAUCGGGAGGAAUACCAGUGGCGAAGGCGGCCUUCUGGACUGACACUGACGCUGAGGUGCGAAAGCGUGGGUAGCAAACAGGAUUAGAUACCCGAGUAGUC
rnacentral:rRNA from 1 species